AGGGAAGCCCUGGUAGUGAGAGUAACGCUUACUCGGACAUUCGAGGGGCUCGCUGCAUUGACGAAGGGAAGCCCCCUUCCGGGGAGCACCGCUUUCACGUGCACUGUAAAGGCUCGCCAGGUAGCCGGAGCGGAUACAGUGGAGGCAACGCCCGCUGCUUACCUGGCUCAUGAACUGAUGUCCCGUGCCGUGCAUGCUGUGCGACAUGUCAAGCACACCGGAGCGUAUCCAGAAAUAUCAUCAUUAUCAUAUCAUGAAUAAAUUUUCAUGAACUUUCA